rnacentral:rRNA from 1 species
AAGCUCGUAGUUGAAUUUCGGGAUUAGUACGUCGGUCGUGCCUUAGGUACGUACUGGUGUUACUGGUUCCUACCUUCUGACGAACCAUCAUGUCAUUAAUUUGGUGUGGUGGGGAAUCAGGACUGUUACUUUGAAAAAAUUAGAGUGUUUAAAGCAGGCUCGCGCUUGAAUACAUUAGCAUGGAAUAAUGGAAUAGGACGUUGAUCCUAUUUUGUUGGUUUCUAGGAUUGACGUAAUGAUUAAUAGGGAUAGUUGGG